UAGGUCGACCCGCUGAAUUUAAGCAUAUCAAUAAGCGGAGGAAAAGAAACUAACCAGGAUUCCCCUAGUAACGGCGAGUGAAGAGGGAAAAGCCCAGCACCGAAGCCUGUGGCAGAUUUGCUGCUAGGCAAUGUGGUGUUUAGGUCGGCUCGCGGGAUUGCCGCUCCACUCGAAGUCCAGCAUUGACUAUGGUUCCCAUGAAUUGGCCCAUAGAGGGUGAAAGGCCCGUGCGGGUGGAGUAAAUGGCGAUUCAUCAGGCCGGCCUUAGAGUCGGGUUGUUUGGGAAUGCAGCCCAAAGCGGGUGGUAAACUCCAUCCAAGGCUAAAUACAAGCACGAGUCCGAUAGCGAACAAGUACCGUGAGGGAAAGUUGAAAAGUACUUUGAAGAGAGAGUAAACAGUACGUGAAACCGCAUAGAGGUAAACGGGUGGCGUCAAGCUGCAAGCCCAGAGAAUUCAGUUGGUCAGGAUGUUGACAUGCGCCCAGCGCAUCUAUCAGUCGGUGUAAGUUGAGCUAGUCUGCUAGUGAUUGGCAGGCCCAGCUGUCAAAGGCUGGGAUUUGUGUACCGGAUGGUUGCCGGAACAAGCUAGCUAACUGUUGGACUGUCUGGCCAAUGCACUUUCUCUGUGGUGAACACCACGACCGGUGGUACUGCCAGUCUGCUGUAGUCAGCUUCAUAGUGCACGCUUGGUCGUAAGGCUAGUGUGUACUGUGAUCACAGACAACUUCAGUGCACGGUGCUUAUGUGUUUCGGCAUAUGGGCAUGUUAUCGGGUACUGGUUGUAAACGGGUGGGCUCUAGCUUCUUGGCUGAAUUAGUGGCUAGAGUGACUCGGUGGGCUACGGUGGUAUGAAUAACUGUGCAGGGCACCGGAGUUUUCGGUCCAUCUGGCAGACUUCGGUCUGUCGGCGGCUGUGCACGCAUUUCAGCCUUGCGUGUGCCACGUAAUUGGGUACAGACAAUGUCGCAAAGGCCUGCCACAGAUUGGGUCUGAUUGUCGUGUUGCUUGUCAAAAUGAUGAGCCCGACAGUGAUCUAGUUUUGGAUGGCGUCUUUGAUAUACGGUGUUGUCAUUGUGCAGCCGUGCUUUUAUGCGACCUAAUAGUCUGUGGUGUAGUGGUAGACGAGCUACCCGACCCGUCUUGAAACACGGACCAAGGAGUUUAACAUGUGCGCAAGUCAUUGGGUGCUACGAAACCCAGAGGCGCAAUGAAAGUAAAGCCUUCAAUUUUGAAGGUGUGGUGAGAUCCUGCUGUUUCUCGCAUGCAUUUGGUGCCAGCACUGGGCCAUUUAAACGAGCAGUGGGCGCAUCACCGGCCCGUCCCAUGAUGUGGCUAUUUGUCGGUGGUAGUGUAUCUAUGCCAUUGUCGUUUACGAUAGUGGUGCCUACCGUUCUGGCGGGUACGUCAUCGGGGCGGAGCAUGAGCGCACAUGUUGAGACCCGAAAGAUGGUGAACUAUGCUUGCGUAGGUUGAAGCCAGAGGAAACUCUGGUGGAGGACCGCAGCGAUUCUGACGUGCAAAUCGAUCGUCAAACGUGAGUAUAGGGGCGAAAGACUAAUCGAACCAUCUAGUAGCUGGUUCCCUCCGAAGUUUCCCUCAGGAUAGCUGGCGCUCAUUCGCAUGAUCAGUUUUAUCCGGUAAAGCGAAUGAUUAGAGGUACUGGGUUCGAAACGAGCUCAACCUAUUCUCAAACUUUAAAUGGGUGAGAUGCCCGGCUCGCUUAAUAGGAGUCGGGCGUUGAAUGUGCGAGUGCCAAGUGGGCCAUUUUUGGUAAGCAGAACUGGCGCUGUGGGAUGAACCAAACGCUCGGUUAAGGUGCCUAACGUUGACGCUCAUGAGAUACCACAAAAGGUGUUGGUCAAUAUAGACAGCAGGACGGUGGCCAUGGAAGUCGGCAUCCGCUAAGGAGUGUGUAACAACUCACCUGCCGAAUCGACCAGCCCUGAAAAUGGAUGGCGCUGGAGCGUUGGACCUAUACCGGGCCGUCACUGCAAGCUGGACUGCUGGCAAUGUGUGCGAGCGGCAUAUGGCUGAUUCGGUACGAAUUGGUCGCCGACUUGAUGUCAUAGUCCAGGCAAGGAGUGCGGUGACGAGUAGGAGGGUCGCCGUGGUGAGCGUGGAAGCCUCGGACGUGAGUCUGGGUGGAGCCGCCACGGGUGCAGAUCUUGGUGGUAGUAGCAAAUAUUCAAGUGAGAUCCUUGAAGGCCGAGGUGGAGAAGGGUUCCAUGGGAACAGCAGUUGACCAUGGGUCAGGCGGUCCUAAGCGAUCCGGUGACUCGGUACAGAGACGUGGGGUGCUUUACAUAUCUAUGUUGAUGGUUGGCAGCCCCCCGGAGCGAAAGGGAAUCGGGUUAAUAUUCCCGACCCUGCCCACGGAGAUAGACGUGUGUUUGGCUGAGUCGUCAGUAUGCUCAGUAAUGGGUAUAGCUGUGGCUCGUGUCUGGACCUCGUCAAGCGCGGUAACGCAAACGAACUCGGAGACGUCGGCAAGAGUUUCGG
rnacentral:rRNA from 1 species